UACGUAGGGUGCGAGCGUUAAUCGGAAUUACUGGGCGUAAAGUGUGCGCAGGCGGCCGAGCAAGUCGAGUGUGAAAGCCCCGAGCUUAACUUGGGAAUUGCGCUCGAAACUACUUGGCUGGAGUGUGGCAGAGGAAGGUGGAAUUCCAGGUGUAGCGGUGAAAUGCGUAGAGAUCUGGAGGAACACCGGUGGCGAAGGCGGCAUCCUGGACCGGCAUUGACGCUGAGGCGCGAAAGCCAGGGGAGCAAAGCAGG
rnacentral:rRNA from 1 species